rnacentral:rRNA from 1 species
CUGGCGGCUUACCUGCAAGUCGAGCGGGGAAAGGUAGCUUGCUACCUUACCUAGCGGCGGACGGGUGAGUAAUGCUUAGGAAUCUGCCUAUUAGUGGGGGACAACAUUCCGAAAGGAAUGCUAAUACCGCAUACGCCCUACGGGGGAAAGCAGGGGAUCUUCGGACCUUGCGCUAAUAGAUGAGCCUAAGUCAGAUUAGCUAGUUGGUGGGGUAAAGGCCUACCAAGGCGACGAUCUGUAGCGGGUCUGAGAGGAUGAUCCGCCACACUGGGACUGAGACACGGCCCAGACUCCUACGGGAGGCAGCAGUGGGGAAUAAUGGACAAUGGGCGAAAGCCUGAUCCAGCCAUGCCGCGUGUGUGAAGAAGGCCUUUUGGUUGUAAAGCACUUUAAGCGAGGAGGAGGCUACUUGGAUUAAUACUCUAGGAUAGUGGACGUUACUCGCAGAAUAAGCACCGGCUAACUCUGUGCCAGCAGCCGCGGUAAUACAGAGGGUGCGAGCGUUAAUCGGAUUUACUGGGCGUAAAGCGUGCGUAGGCGGCUUUUUAAGUCGGAUGUGAAAUCCCUGAGCUUAACUUAGGAAUUGCAUUCGAUACUGGGAAGCUAGAGUAUGGGAGAGGAUGGUAGAAUUCCAGGUGUAGCGGUGAAAUGCGUAGAGAUCUGGAGGAAUACCGAUGGCGAAGGCAGCCAUCUGGCCUAAUACUGACGCUGAGGUACGAAAGCAUGGGGAGCAAACAGGAUUAGAUACCCUGGUAGUCCAUGCCGUAAACGAUGUCUACUAGCCGUUGGGGCCUUUGAGCUUUAGUGGCGCAGCUAACGCGAUAAGUAGACCGCUGGGGAGUACGGUCGCAAGACUAAAACUCAAAUGAAUUGACGGGGGCCCGCACAAGCGGUGGAGCAUGUGGUUUAAUUGGAUGCAACGCGAAGAACCUUACCUGGUCUUGACAUAGUAAGAACUUUCCAGAGAUGGAUUGGUGCCUUUGGGAACUUACAUAUAGGUGUUUCAAUGGCUUUUUCCAGCUCGUGUCGUGAGAUGUUGGGUUAAGUCCCGCAACGAGCGCAACCCUUUUCCUUAUUUGCCAGCGGGUUAAGCCGGGAACUUUAAGGAUACUGCCAGUGACAAACUGGAGGAAGGCGGGGACGACGUCAAGUCAUCAUGGCCCUUACGACCAGGGCUACACACGUGCUACAAUGGUCGGUACAAAGGGUUGCUACCUAGCGAUAGGAUGCUAAUCUCAAAAAGCCGAUCGUAGUCCGGAUUGGAGUCUGCAACUCGACUCCAUGAAGUCGGAAUCGCUAGUAAUCGCGGAUCAGAAUGCCGCGGUGAAUACGUUCCCGGGCCUUGUACACACCGCCCGUCACACCAUGGGAAUUUGUUGCACCAGAAGUAGGUAGUCUAACCGCAAGGAGGACGCUUUACUCAA